AAGUUGUAACAAGGUUUCCGUAGGUGAACCUGCGGAAGGAUCAUUAAAAGAAUCUGCCUCACCCACAGAUAUCUUAUCACGUGUGAACUGUCUAGCUUGUCACCCGAGAUGGACACCUCAGAGAUCUCGGUCUUUGGGGGGUCUGUCUUGGGGGUCAGCUUAUGCUACUGAUUGUGCCCCGAGAAUCUUUAAAAGACUAUAAAACUUUUAGCAAUGGAUCUCUAGGCUCCU
rnacentral:misc_RNA from 1 species